CGCUGCUCAGCCCCAGCCCGGCAGAGCGGCCCAGGAGCCCCGGGUGACUGCCCCGGACUUCAGGGCCCGGCUUCGCUUUCCCCCUGCAGGACACUCCAGGUACUGCAUGGCCCCGGGCCCCAAGGGCAGGGAGCGAGACCCUGGAGUGAAGACCCCCCGGCCCCGCCAGGUGUGAUGGGGGGGCCCUGGGGAUAGGGUCCCCGAAGCAAAGCUGAGACUCAGAGGUGGGCUGCUGAGCCACGCCGUCCGCAGGGGCGGUGGCUACAGGUAGUUGUCUUCUGCGGCGUCGCUCCCGCCCCUGGAGCCCCGGGGCUCAUCCUCGUCGUCGUCGUCGUCAUCGGGGGCCAGCGCCUCGAUGUCGUGCGUGAUGUCAGCCAGCAGCCGGUGGAAGGCCUGUGCCUCGGGCCGCUGCGCCGCGCCAUCGUAGCUGCGCACUGCGGAGGCCGACGUGGAGCUCAUGCUGCGCUUGAUGCGGCCGAAGCUGUCAGUGAGGAUGCCGCCCUCGCGGAUGCCCACGCCCUCCAGGAAGCCCUCGAAGUAGCCGAUGUCCUGGUCCGGGAUGAAGGGCCGCAUCCCUGCGAGCCGAGGGGCAUGGUUAUGUCCAGGGCAAUGUGCCAUUCCCAAAAUGUUUACUCCAGCCUCCAGGCUUUUGCUUGUGCCAUUCCCACCACCGGCCCCAGCUCACCGUGACCAUGUAAUCCUGUAACUGCUCCAAGCCCAGACUGCUGUGGUCGCUGCCGCUGCAGUGGGAGCCAUGGAAAGAAGGUGUGGACGUGCCGCUGUAACAUGCUUCAAAGGUGUCCUGGGAGCCAUUACUGCAGGCACGGGAAGAAGGGCCUUCACUCGCCUCCCUCCAGCUCCUGGCCCUCAGGCAGGCUGAAGGUAGGAGGCCUCAUCCUAGACUGCAUGCUGGCCUCCAAGGCCUCGCAUACCCUGGCCCCUGGCACCUCUCAAGUCUCAUCUGUCACUGUGCUUGCCUUUGCCUUUGCUCUUUGUGCUUCGCGCCCCCCACCCCCCUUCUCCUUCUUCCUCUACUAUCUCCUCACCUCUGGGUGUUUGCACCUGCUGGUCCCUCUGCCUGGAUUGCCUCCUUUCCCCUCCCUUUUGCACAGCUAACUCUUACUCAUCCCGUGAUCUUAAAUGUCAUCUCCUCAGGAGAGUGUUCCCUAAUUCCCCUAGGUUGGGUUAGAACCUCUGUCGAACAUGCUCCCUCAGUCCAUGGCCUACCUGUGACAUGCAUGGCCUUUCCAGGUACCCCCAAGCAUCCUCUCUGACCACUCUCUCCCUCACACCAUUUGCCACAGCCACAGUGGCCACCUGCUGCCCCUCAAACCCACUAAGCUCUAUCCUGUUCAAAAUUUUUUUUUUUUUUUUUUGAGACAGAUUCUUGCUCUGUCACUGAGGCUGGAGUGCAGUGGUGCGGUCUUGGCUCACUGCAGCCUCCGCCUCCCGGGUUCAAGCAAUUUUCAUGCCUCAGCCUCCUGAGUAGCUGGGACUACAAGCAUGUGCCACCCAGCCAAUUUUUGUAUUUUUAGUAGAGACAGGGUUUCACCAUGUUUGUCCAGGCUGCUCUCAAAUGCCUCACCUCAAGCAAUCUGCCCACCUCAGCCUCCCAAAAUGCUGGGAUUACAGGCGUGAGCCACCACGCCUGGUUAGUUCAGGAUUCUUACAUUUGCUGUUCCCUCUACCUGGAACACUCUUCCCCCUUUCAUCCUCCAAGCCUCAGUUCAUGUGCCAUCACCUCUGAGAGGCCCUCCUGACUCUCCAGCUGAGUUGCGGUCCCCCUCUGCCUCUCUUAUAGCACCCUGAGCCUCCCUUUAGUACUUAUUACCAUUAAUGAUUGUUACUGUUAAAUUGCGAUUUCAUUGCCUCCUAUCCUAGACUGUAAACUUGACAAGAGCAGGGACUUUGGUUUUCUUCAUUUGUUGAACACCUACUAUGUGCCAGGCCCAGGUUUUGCCCUCUGUCUUGUGUCCAUCUGUAUCCCCAGCACACAGCAGAGUGCCUGGCACAUAGGAGGUACUCAAGAAAUAUUGCUUAAUAAAAACUCAACCUUAGGCUCCUGCCUCCUUGUCUCUAAAUUGUUCCAGAACCAUCCUCCAUUAUUACCUACAAAGAAGCCGUGUAGCUUUGUGGUUAAAGGACUGGAUUCUGGAGCCAGCCUUCUUCUGUUCAAAUCCCAUACUUACAACUUACUAGGUGCUUGACCUUGGGAAAACUAAACUUAAUUUCUCUAUUUCUCAAUUUUUCCAUCUGUAUAAUGGGAUAAUAAUAAUUAGUGUCAUCAUGAGAAUUAGAGGAGUUAAUAUUUGUAGAACACUUAGAAUUAUGGGCUAUAAGCAAUAAACAGUAGCUGCUGUAAUGUUACUAUGUUGAUGAAAAAAUAAAGUGCUUUAUAGAACAGCACUUAGUACAUAGCAAGUUCAAUGUUCAAACGCUAUUAUCACUAUUUUAUCUCUUCAGUAGAUAUCUGGUUGUUUAAAGACUAGCCUAAGGGCAUACAGUAUGAGGAAGGCAAAUCUAUUGCCACUAAAAAGGAAAGAAACAAUAAGACAUAUAUCACUGGCAGAGACUGCUACAUGCCAAACUGAAGCCCUUAGUAAUAUAACUAGGUGAUCAACCAGUAACCCAGGACUUUCUUGGUUUUAGCACUGAAAAUCCCAUAUCCGGGGGAACCCCUCAUUCCUGAGCAAACUGGGAUGGCUGGUCACCCUAAACAGAACCCUGGGUAAUGUUCCCAACUGAAUUGUUUAAAAUUUUAUUUAUUUAUUUGUUUAUUUAUUUAUUUCAAUAGAGACAGGGUCUCCCUAUGUUGCCCAGACUGGUCUCAAACUUGUGGGCUCAAGUGAUCCUCCUGCGUUGCCCUCCCAAAGUGUUGGGAUUACAGGCGUGAGCCACCAUGACUGGCCUGAAUUUUUCUUUUUUUUUUUUUUUGAGAUAGAGUCUCGC
rnacentral:lncRNA from 1 species